CUCCCAUGUAGCCUGGCGGCGAAACCCGGCGGCCGCCCAAUCCCCGCCGCGCAGCUUGCCGCUGCGUUCGACGAGGGAGCCGGGGCACGGCAAGCCUGCCCCCCUAUAGAGAGACUGGUUCGGGGAUGCGGGCCAGUGGCGCGGCAACGUCGUGGGUGGUGGGGCAGACGCGCAUCUCUAGGACGACCCGGACGCCGCCGCCAUCCCAGCGCUCCUCGACUCCCGCUUCGACGGCGAGCAGGUCGACGCUCAAGCGCCUCCUCGUCCCCAUCUCGCGGGGAUUCUACGUCGCCCACCGCUUCCUGCAGGCGGUCAAGAACGUGCCGGCAUAGUCGCUUGAGAUGAAGAAGCUCGUCCACCUCUAACCGUUCCACCACGCCGAGAAGUUUAAAUCGCCGUGUAAGUGAAGGCGUAUUUCUCCUUCACGCCUUCGACGUCAACCCCCCUCCCCUUGGUGUAGUACUGUUUAAUCAGGCAGACCUGUUCUGGCCCACAAUACUAUUUCUCUUUUUUCUAAAAUCCAGGAAAGCAUUAUGUUUCGAAAGAUUCAAGGACGUUCAAGGAGUGACCAAAACCAUUGAAGACUUUGCUGAGCGAGGCAAGCAAUCUACUUUGAUCAUGUUGAACCCAUAUUUGCAUUACACUUAGAAUUAUUUUUCAUGCAUAAAGUAUUGUUUACUAGUAUUGCUAUGUUAAGUAAAUUAGCUAGGGUUUAGCUAUGCCCUAUGUCCUUGAUAUUGACACACCUUUGACA